CCUACGGGAGGCAGCAGUGAGGAAUAUUGGUCAAUGGGCGAGAGCCUGAACCAGCCAAGUCGCGUGAGGGAAGACGGUCCUAUGGAUUGUAAACCUCUUUUGCCGGGGAGCAAAAAGCGGUACGUGUACCGCAUCGAGAGUACCCGGAGAAAAAGCAUCGGCUAACUCCGUGUCAGCAGCCGCGGUAAUACGGAAGGUCCGGGCGUUAUCCGGAUUUAUGGGGUUUAAAGGGAGCGUAGGCGGCCUGUUAAGUCAGCGGGAAAGGCCCGGGGCUAAACCCCGGCGAGCCGUUGAAACUGGCGGGCUGGAGUGGGAGAGAGGUAAGCGGAAUGCGCGGUGUAGCGGUGAAAUGCUUAGAUAUCGCGCAGAACCCCGAUUGCGAAGGCAGCGUACCGGCUCCACACUGACGCUGAGGCACGAAAGUGCGGGUAUCGAACAGGAUUAGAUACCCCAGUAGUC
rnacentral:rRNA from 1 species